AUUGAACGCUGGCGGAAUGCUUUACACAUGCAAGUCGAGCGGCAGCGCGGGGCAACCUGGCGGCGAGCGGCGAACGGGUGAGUAAUGCAUCGGAACGUACCCCGUCGUGGGGAAUAACUACCCGAAAGGGUAGCUAAUACCGCAUACGACCUGAGGGUGAAAGCGGGGGACCGAAAGGCCUCGCGCGAUGGGAGCGGCCGAUGCCGGAUUAGCUAGUUGGUAGGGUAAAGGCCUACCAAGGCGACGAUCCGUAGCUGGUCUGAGAGGACGACCAGCCACACUGGAACUGAGACACGGUCCAGACUCCUACGGGAGGCAGCAGUGGGGAAUUUUGGACAAUGGGCGAAAGCCUGAUCCAGCCAUUCCGCGUGAGUGAAGAAGGCCUCGG
rnacentral:rRNA from 1 species